UGGGGAAUAUUGGACAAUGGGCGCAAGCCUGAUCCAGCCAUGCCGCGUGAGUGAUGAAGGCCCUAGGGUUGUAAAGCUCUUUCACCGGUGAAGAUAAUGACGGUAACCGGAGAAGAAGCCCCGGCUAACUUCGUGCCAGCAGCCGCGGUAAUACGAAGGGGGCUAGCGUUGUUCGGAUUUACUGGGCGUAAAGCGCACGUAGGCGGACUUUUAAGUCAGGGGUGAAAUCCCGGGGCUCAACCCCGGAACUGCCUUUGAUACUGGAAGUCUUGAGUAUGGUAGAGGUGAGUGGAAUUCCGAGUGUAGAGGUGAAAUUCGUAGAUAUUCGGAGAAACACCAGUGGCGAAGGCGGCUCACUGGACCAUUACUGACGCUGAGGUGCGAAAGCGGGGGGAGCAAACAGG
rnacentral:rRNA from 1 species